rnacentral:lncRNA from 1 species
GGGAGGGGACGUGGGCGCACCGUUGGGUUACGACCAGAGGCCGUGGGGACGGGUCAG